rnacentral:rRNA from 1 species
AAAUUGAAGAGUUUGAUCAUGGCUCAGAUUGAACGCUGGCGGCAGGCCUAACACAUGCAAGUCGAACGGUAACAGGAAACAGCUUGCUGUUUCGCUGACGAGUGGCGGACGGGUGAGUAAUGUCUGGGAAACUGCCUGAUGGAGGGGGAUAACUACUGGAAACGGUAGCUAAUACCGCAUAACGUCGCAAGACCAAAGAGGGGGACCUUCGGGCCUCUUGCCAUCGGAUGUGCCCAGAUGGGAUUAGCUAGUAGGUGGGGUAACGGCUCACCUAGGCGACGAUCCCUAGCUGGUCUGAGAGGAUGACCAGCCACACUGGAACUGAGACACGGUCCAGACUC